rfam:Dipodomys ordii contig_9479, whole genome shotgun sequence.
GAAGUUGGCUCAGUGGUAGAGUGCUUGCCUCUUAUGCAUGAAGCCCUGGGUUCAAUUCCUCAGCACAUCA